ACUUGGAGAUGUUUCGUCUAGGGCGCGGUUACAGCCACUACUCUACAGCUGGCGACAGCGUUUUUUCUUUUGAAAGGUGUUUCUUUCCAGGGGUGCGUCCGCCAAGCGACACUAUCCAACUGGAAGCCCGCAAGCACCAGCAACGUCCUCUGUAGAGCGCAAUCACGAAACCUGCACAGGAUCACACGUGGGCGGUACCAGCUUCGCUGUCAAUGCUCCUCGAGAAAAUGCUCUGCAGCGGGAUAUAACGCGCUGCCUGGCCGAACUGUAGGCCGAAGCUCACCAGCCCGUUUCCGUGACUAUAAUAUAUCGUAUCGAGGUUUCGCGUCGUAGCGCUUUGUAUACCGACGGUUAAAUAGAGUGUGGAGGCAAACGACGAACGCUUAUCUCGCACGUACGCAGCACAAGUUAAACUAACUCAGACGAUACCGCUUGCAGACGAUUCGACGGCGCCUGGCUCAUCACUGUGCAAUUCGUCGUGGCAGACCCCUCUGACGCUCGGAGUACUUUGGUCGGCAAAGAUAUUGGCUAAAGAGGUUUGUGUACUUGCUGCUGGGAACUCCUUCUGUUCCAGGCCUGGUACGAGCGCCAACUCCGGGAGAUCGUUUACGAGCAUCCAACUUUGCCGGACGUUGGUGAUGCGGGCGGGCGGUGGUAGCAAGUCGAGGCGCUAGCGCCGCGCUUCUAAGGCGUCACGAGCGAGCAAGCAGUGAAGCUUCGAAGUAUACGGUGCCACGUACGGCAAAGAGCGUUGUCCCCCACGUAAUCCUGACCGUUUAUCUUACGCAAACGCGUCGGUAACCAUUCCUUGCUUUCCCAACAUUGAAUCUAUCAACUGUUUCACCUGUGCGCACUACUUGUUCACGAACUUAGAGUGAAAUCCGCCUCGCACGAAGCCAUUCGGAUGAACCAUGCUACCUGUGCUCCGCCAGCGAUGAGGACGCGGGUCUGCGCUCAUCCGUCGUGUUUUGUACUAGCUGAAGGACUUCAAUAGUACCAGUGCAUGAGAGCAUUGACAGCAAGUCUGAGAAUACGUCGCCACCGCAGUGCAAGCGCGUUACAAGCACACACGCACAUGAAACCGCUACUAUAUCCAUCUCUCUCGGAGCAAGCAUCAUCGGCCCAGUCACUAUUUCGAUCGAUCUAAUAGUUCACAUCUUCUACGGUUUCCAUUCCACACAGGAUUCACAUUUCGAUAUUCUGUUUGCUGCUUAUUUUAGCAACGCAACAGAACAAGUCGCUGUCGCAGAAUAGCCCCAAUCUGACCACUGCGCAUCUGGUUCGGUCGCUGACGUUCCCUCACGAACGCAAAGCGGAACUAUGGCAACAAUGUGUAUCGAAUGCUACAAAGAAAGCGGAUAUACACGGAGAGCAGCUCGAAAGGUGCGAAACGAAGCAUACAGACUGCGAGUUUUUCCAAGCUCCAUCAUGAAUGUGGCAUUUGGUAAAAGAACCUCCCCAAUACCGUGACAUUGUAAACGGAGCGCACCGUUCCAGUACAGAGCAAUUUUCAUUCCCGUGUUCACCGAAAUGGAACGAUGCCUGGCGGAUCCACUCCGCUGCAAACAGUAUUUGCGGAAGGCCAAAGCUUCAGCGAUAAGGUGCACUUUGAAACGCUCCUGAAGCAGAUGUAGUUCUGUGUACGUGUAAUUGAUGCGCUGCGUGUAUUAGCACCAAUAGUGCUGCUCGAAAAGCCCUUGAUAAGAAGGUAACGGGCAAAACUUUUCGUUCCAAGUCACUCGACAGCUGGCGUGUAUUGCGAGGUGAGGUCACUCACCGGUUCAGAAGUAAUAGUACGCGAGCGUGUGUUUCAGUGCUGCUGCCGCUUAUUCCACCAGAUGACUCGAGACCUGCUACAUAAAAGUCAU
rnacentral:misc_RNA from 1 species